rnacentral:lncRNA from 1 species
UGAGCCUCCACGUUCACGGUUAUUACCUGAAUGUAUUGCAGUUCUUGUCACCGCCUCACUGCAGUCUCUCCCUGCCUCAUGAGAUCACGUAUGACCAAAAUGGUGACAGCUUCAGUAACAGGUUGCUUUGCCUUGCCGUGCUCUUCAAGAAAGAAAUCUAUUCUGCAAUAUACAACUUCCAUCUUUCUGAGAGGCUUUCCUCCUUGAAUCCUUAUCUGUGAAGGACUGGCAGAAGGAAAGGCAAGAACUUGAAAGCAGCCUGAAUCAAAGAUGGGCUGCCCAAGCCAUGUGGAGAGUGACUGCUGGGCAAGAGAGGAGCCUGCUGGCAGUGGCAGGAGGCACAGAGAGUGGCACUCAGUGGGCCCUUGCCAUUCAAGCGCUCUAAGAAAGCCACCACCCAAACUGGUGCUGCUGUGGGCCAGACCCACAGCAGACAGUGGGAACAGCAGCACAGUUAGAGUUUCGUAAGUUGAAAGGUCACAGGUAGCUGCUUCUGGAAAGAUAUUUGAGUACUAAACCUUCUCCAUUGUCACGUCCUUUUAUUUUUUUAUCUACUUAUUUAUUUGAUGGUUCUGGAAAUUACAUGUUUGAGUAAU